rnacentral:rRNA from 1 species
UACCCUAUUAUUAAGAAAAAUUAUAUUGUUAGUAUAUAAAUUGUAUGAAAACAAAAAAUUAUGGCGGUAUUUUAAGCUUUUCAGAGGAAUUUGCUCUUUAAUGGAUAAAACACCUAAAUCUUACUAAAUUUAGUUAAACAGUUUGUAUACCACUAUUUAAGUAAUAAUUUGCUAUUAUUACUAAAAUUUAUAUUAAUUAAAAAAAGUUAAGUCAAGGUGCAGCAUAAAUUUUAGUAUGAAGUGAAUUACAUUUCUUUUAAGAAAAUUUUGUUGAAAAUAAAAUUUAGGAUUUGAAAGUAAAAUUUUAAUAGAAGGAAAAUUUGAAUUAAGCUCUAAAAUAUGUACACAUCGCC